UGUCCAAGGAUGGGAAGCGAACCCACAGUGUUCCGCUUAUUGGGCAGAUGCCAUGUCCACUAGGCUAACCUGGAC
rnacentral:tRNA from 1 species